rnacentral:rRNA from 1 species
AUUGAACGCUGGCGGCAGGCUUAACACAUGCAAGUCGAGCGAGCGGCGGACGGGUGUGAAAUGUCUGGGAAACCGCCUGAUGGAGGGGGAUAACCUCUGGAAACGGUAGCUAAUACCGCAUAACAUCAGAUGUGCCUAGAUGGGAUUAGCUAGUAGGUGGGGUAAUGGCUCACCUAGGCGACGAUCCCUAGCUGGUCUGAGAGGAUGACCAGCCACACUGGAACUGAGACACGGUCCAGACUCCUACGGGAGGCAGCAGUGGGGAAUAUUGCACAAUGGGCGCAAGCCUGAUGCAGCCAUGCCGCGUGUGUGAAGAAGGCCUUCGGGUUGUAAAGCACUUUCAGUGGGGAGGCGUUACCCACAGAAGAAGCACCGGCUAACUCCGUGCCAGCAGCCGCGGUAAUUC